rfam:Cylindrobasidium torrendii FP15055 ss-10 unplaced genomic scaffold CYLTOscaffold_270, whole genome shotgun sequence.
UGCCCCAUGGCUGAGUUGGUUACAGCGUCCGACUGUUAAUCGGAAGGUCGUGAGUUCGAGCCUCACUGGGGCAG